UCAAUGGUAGAACAUAUGUUCUAGCCUGGUGAUACCUUGGGUUCAACCCCCAGAGCCAAAAUUAAAGCAAAGCAAAAAAAAAAAAAAAAAGAAAGAAAAUCAGAUUAAAGCUGUGCUAAUUUCACUUAUUCUGUGGCGUCUCAGGGAGGCAGAUGCAACCUCAUUUCCCAAGGGAAGGAACACGCAGCCCAGGAAGAGAACACAAAGCUCGAACCCAUGUAAAACAGCUGGAUUCAGGAAGAUGGCUCAGGGAUAAAGACACUUUCUGCCAAACUUGAUGACCUAAAUUCCAUUCCCAGGCCCCACACGGUAGGAGAGAACUGACUCCCCCAAGUUGUCCUCUGACAUCCACAUCAGUGCUACGGUCUACACCUCCCCCUCAAAAGAAAUUGUGUAGCAGUGACACGCAUCUGCAAUCACAGCUCUUCUGCAGCCUGGAAACUCCAGGGCCAGCCAGCCUGGAGUGCUCCCGAGCCACAGAAACAAAAAGCCUGCUGCCUCAACAAGGCAGUGGAAGAGAACCGAGUCCACGUGCAAGCCACAACAGCGCUGGGUGAACAAGACUCACAGUGAGACAUGCAAAAAUCUCUGCCUAUCACAGCAGUUCAUCAAAAGAUGAGGAAAAAACGAUCCCUGCAGGGAAAAGGAAGAAGCAGGAAUGAAGCAUCUCUGAUUGACUUCAGAGCACUAGGAGAGGCCAAGAAAGUCCUCCUGCCUGGGUUUUGCCAUUUCUAAAGUAGCCACUUGGUCACAAUGUACUAAUAUCCACAGUGUGUUGAAGUAAAUAUUUAUGACGGUUUGUAUGUGCUCAGCCCAGGGAGUGGCAGCAUUAGGUGUGGCCCUGUUGGAGUAGGUGUGUCACUGUGGGUG
rnacentral:lncRNA from 7 species